UAUUUUUCUUUUUUUUUAAACACAUGUCAGUUGUCAGUAAUCCCAGUUGGAAAGUUAAAUUCAAAAUUCAUUUUCAAAUUUUUUUUUAAAUUUUUAUCAAGAGAAGAAAAAAAAUUUGGCCAAAGCAGAACAAAGAUACUGCAGAUAUUCUACAAAGUUUAUGGUAACGACUGGCUCAGUCAGGAGGUAAACCUCGGUAAAUAGAUCUGCAGCAGUCUCAGCAAUUGUCGGGCAAUUGGAAUUGUCAUGAUCCUAAAGGAGCUGAACACAACCUGGUAGACGCCCAGCGAUUGUUCACGUACAACGCUUUCUAACAGAAUGACAAUUUUUAAGAAAGCUCACUCCUCUGAUUUUUAAUUGAAUCAGGAUCAAUUUGUUUAUUUCCUCUUGUCAUCUGUACGAGCGGUUCAAAAUUGGACGCAUACAAUUUCAGCGCCUCAGAGUUAUGGUACAGUUUUUUCAAGAUUGACUUUUUUCUUUUUUCAAUACAUUUGUCAAUGGACAGUACAAACUCUUUAUUUGGGCCAUAACCACAAAGCCUUUCUUCUUGAAAAUCACAAAUGGUUGGCCUGGUGAACACCUCAAAAUGGGGAUCACCUUGGAAUGUCUUCACAGCGAGAACAGUGGAAAUCCACUUAUUUAUUACUGUGCUUACGCUGUUUAUCCAAUCUUCGGGCUCUGGAUACAGCUCGACAUUCGUUUCCCCCAUAAGAAGAUUAACAAGAAAGAGAGGAUUCUAUAAAAGAGAAAAUAAUGAAAGUUGGCAUGAAACCUAAGAAAAUACAGCCAACACACCUUAGGGUCUUCAGUUCUGGCAUUUUCAACAAUUAGAGAGGGAGGAACGUUUUCUAACAUUGGCAACUCAGGAAGAUAUUUGAUGUGAUUGCACAGUGUCAUUUUUAAGAUUUUUAGCGAUCUUCUUAGGAGUUUAAUCAAAAACGCUUGAACCAAAUAAUCUGCAACUCCUAGGCAUCUACAAAAGAUGAAUGUGAAAUAUAAGAAUAUCAAAAAGGACAAAAAUUGCUGAAUUUACCUUGAAAUCUUUAUACACUGUUUUUUCUUUGCUCUUCUAUCAUCAAAUGACAUCUUGUAGCGUCCGUCCUCUGUUGUCUCAAUGCCAAUCAUUGCUGCAGUGCCUGUUAAAAUAAAGCGUACUUAUUUAGUAUUUUAUAAAUGUCUAGAGAAAAUUGAAAAUGACAAAAUUACAAAAAAAGCUUGUACCUAUGAGCGUUGAAUCAACUUUCAAGUUGCUGUCGUCAGGCGUAAAUCCCAUUUCCAGUAAAUCUCCGUGACUACUGUUGUCAAGAAUUUGCUUAAUCAACUGUCUUGACUCGCUCAAUUUGGUUUGCACUUGAUUGAUUUGUUCGAUCUGAAAAAAAUCAAGUUAAAAUGUUUCUAAGACCCAGAAGAUAAAUGACUCACCUGAAUAUUCAUGAAUUCUUCCAAAUUGAGUUUUUCCAAGCCAGAACUCACGAAGAAUGACUCCUUGGAAAGGGACUCACAUACACUUUGAGUCUGCUGAAGAGCAUUUCGGAGUUCAGGCCUCACCAUAAUCAAUGAGGCCUCUAGCGAAGUUUGGUUUUCAACAAACUUCCUAGUUGUGAUUUUUUUCCUCCAGAGAGUGAAAUAUUUGUAGAGUUGAAACUGCCAAAAAGUUCUUGUCUACAAAAUUUUAUCAUUAUAAUAAAUUUAGUCUAAAGUGA